rnacentral:hammerhead_ribozyme from 1 species
UUACUGAUGAAGAGUCCUAGACUAGAACGAUACAGCUGUCCAGUAC